rnacentral:rRNA from 1 species
GACGAACGCUGGCGGCGUGCUUAACACAUGCAAGUCGAACGGAAAGGCCCUGCUUUUGUGGGGUGCUCGAUUGGCGAACGGGUGAGUAACACGUGAGUAACCUGCCCUUGACUUUGGGAUAACUUCAGGAAACUGGGGCUAAUACCGUAUAGGAUCUCCUGCUGCAUGGUGGGGGUUGGAAAGUUUCGGCGGUUGGGGAUGGACUCGCGGCUUAUCAGCUUGUUGGUGGGGUAGUGGCUUACCAAGGCUUUGACGGGUAGCCGGCCUGAGAGGGUGAACGGCCACAUUGGGACUGAGAUACGGCCCAGACUCCUACGGGAGGCAGCAGUGGGGAAUAUUGCACAAUGGGCGGAAGCCUGAUGCAGAAACGCCGCGUGCGGGAUGACGGCCUUCGGGUUGUAAACAGCUUUCGCCUGUGACGAAGCGUGAGUGACGGUAAUGGGUAAAGAAGCACCGGCUAACUACGUG